UACGGGGGGAGCAAGCGUUGUUCGGAAUCACUGGGCGUAAAGGGCGUGUAGGCGGUCCGCUAAGUCUGAUGUGAAAGCCCGGGGCUCACCCCCGGAAGGGCAUUGGAAACUGGCGGACUCGAGUCUCGGAGAGGAAGGUGGAAUUCCUGGUGUAGCGGUGAAAUGCGUAGAUAUCUGGAGGAACACCGGUGGCGAAGGCGGGUCUCUGGACAGUUCCUGACGCUCAGGCACGAAAGCCAGGGGAGCAAACGGG
rnacentral:rRNA from 1 species